UUUUUUUGUGUUGGUCUUGUGUACUCAGGUGAAUAUGAUAUUUGUGAUGUUACUCUGAGUGUGUAUCCACACUGGGCAAGCUUGAAAAAUAUGCCUGGCCACAGUGGGAAUCGAGCCUACGACCAUUUGAAUACUAGCCCAAUGCUCUGCCAACUGAGCCACGCGGUCAGGUCGGCUCGAGUAUGUGAUAUUUCGGAAUUGAGUCUA
rnacentral:lncRNA from 1 species